rnacentral:lncRNA from 1 species
CAAUUUUAUUUAUCCAUUAGAAUUAUAUAUUUGUAAUUAUUGUUCUGUUCUGAUAAAUUUGUUAAAUUUAAAGGAUUUGUUGUAAAGUGAAGAGAACUAAAAAUAUCCUGUUGGCACAUUAUAACAUUAUUAGGCCAGCCGUUAUUAUUUCUGAAUGUAAUAAAAUGCAACUUAUACAUGACUUAUAUAUUCUUAUAUAUAUACUUAUAUAUUUUUUCCUCUCACAAACUUAAUUUAUUUUUUAGCCUGUUUUAAAAAAUAAAUAAAUAAAUAAAUAAAAUAACAUGCAGCAAACGAAAAUAGGUAUUAGGUAAUAGAUAUUAAUCGGUUAAAAUUUGUUACUGUGGGGUAAUUAUAAUUAUUAUAUACUUAGGAACAGAGUCUGGGCCUAAUCUAGGCUAUCCAGGGUUUUUAAUUUUUUUUUUAUUUUCAUUGCAUCUGAAAAUGACUUUGUGCAGCACAUUCACGCUCAACCUGCCUCACGCGUUGCUCAGCUGUGGACGAUUUUAAAAUGUUUUAUAUAAAUGUUGCUGUCCCAUUUUAUACAGGAAUUGUUCAUUUAAAAAAAAAAUCGAAUUAUAUUGUUAGUUCUAAUUAUAUUGUUAACACAAGUUAAUUUAGGCUAUUUAACAUGCACUGUGACAUUUUACCCUUUUUAACUUAUAAACUCCUUGAGAUUUUAAAGUCAGUUUAAUAGUAUUGAAGUUCAAGUUUUUAAAAAAGGUUUUAAAUGCUUAAAUUAUUUCUAUGAAUUAAUAAUAUGUUAUCAGGUUUUAAUUGCUUAAAUUAUUUCUAUGAAUUAAUAAUAUGUUAUCAUGUUUAUUCUUGUAGAAAAUAAGUGUUUAUUCUUUAAGAAAAUAAGGGAAAAAUAAGGGACGAUCCAAAUAUUAUUCAUAUUUGUUUUGCUUCACCUAUUUAUGUAAGCUACAAUUAUUCUAAAAAAAUAAAAAUAAAAAAUAAAUAAAAAAAACAUAAUGUAAUUAAAAGUGCCAUCGGCCUGAGUAAAUUUGACCAUUAUAGAAUUGUGACUUUAAAGGUUAGUGAUUUAGGAGGUGAAAAUACUGUGAAAUUACAAAUGUUAUGGGAUUUUAAAGCAUAACAACUGAAGGGCUAUGAAACGUUAGCCCAGUGGUUCUCAACCUUUUUUUUCCAACGGGCCGCACUAUGGUGCGAGUGCAAGUCUCGCGGGCCGCACGCAUAUCAUUUACAUAUAACGUCAUCAAUACAAACCAACCUGAUUUAUAAUAUUAUAGCCUAAAUAUUAUGAUAUUUAAUCGAUUACAUUUCCAAGUGCAAGUCUCG